CUUAGUAGUCCAAUUUUUUUUUUUUUUGGCCUGCAGAUUACCAUCUCCACAUAAACAGGUGUGCUAUCACAAUUAUCUAUACGUGUGAUGGAAGAAAUUAGUUACCACAAAGCAGAAAGCUGAAGAGACAAAAAUGUGUGUGCAGAAAAAAAGCACUAAAAGUCUCCUCAGAGAUCUAGUAAGCUCCACAGACUGGUGACCCUGUUGAAACCAGAAGAAUGGCUAAACUCAGAACUCCAUGUAUCAGCUGAAUCCAGGCAAGGCUACUGUUUAUCAGGGUUAGGUAUCUAGACUGCUCCUGUCAGAUUCGCAGAUCUGAAAAUGUGAAUUAAAGUACAUUUUCUGCAUUUGUGACCUUCAGUAAGAGCAAGAGUAAACUGAAGGUAAACAGCUUAGUGACAUUUCAAAGGUGGCAUGCUCUAGCAAAAACACCCUGAAAGCACUUGAGUAUACUUGUAGUACACUACAACGUCUCCUCUUUCCCCCGAGCGUGAGAGAUUGCAUGCUUCUUUGGAGAAUUAAAUAUGCUUUGAUGCCCAGGAAACAGCAUGAAGGGGACCAGAUUCCGCCAGAUGAAAUAGAAGUGUAUGGAACAUGUAAGCAUCAAAGACAAGCUGUAUAAAAAUACUGUAAAAAACACACCUUUUAUUUUUUUUUUCUGAUAACUGAAAUGUAAGUUUCUGAAUUUGCAGCUCAACUUCUCUAAUGCAUGCUGGUGUAUUUGGUUUACAUGGCAAGGUUUUGGUAGCAGGGGGGCUGCAGGGGUGGCCUCUGUGAGCAGAGCCCAGCAGUUGCCCCACAUCAGAUCA